CUUGUUACUCACUCAUUACUCACCCGUUACUCACUGGUUACUCACCCUUUACUCUCCCUUUACUCACCCCUUCCUCACCCCUUCCCCAGGUGUGGCCAUGGAGGGGCUGCGGGGCCGGGACCCCCCCUGUGCCCGGAACAUUCCAGCCCUGUCCGAGGAGGAGGAGGAGGAGGAAGAGCCAGGUGAGGAGGAACCAGGUGAGGAGGAGCCAGGUGAGGAGGAAGACGCAGGUGAUGAAGACCCAGGUGAGGAGGAAGAUCCAGGUGAGGUUGAAGACCCAGGUGAGGAAGAAGCAGCUGAGGUUGAAGACCCAGGUGAGGAAGACCCAGGUGAAGAUGAAGAUCCAGGUGAUGAAGAUCCAGGUGAUGAAGACCCAGGUGAAGAUGAAGACCCCGGUGAGGAUGAAGAUCCAGGUGAGGAAGACCCAGGUGAGGAAGUUCCAGGUGAGGAAGUUCCAGGUGAUGAAGACCCAGGUGAUGAAGACCCAGGUGAGGAUGAAGACCCAGGUGAGGAUGAAGGCCCAGGUGAUGAAGACCCCGCUGAGGAUGAAGACGCAGCCCAGGAAGCCCCACCCGGACCCCUCCACGUCCUCCCCUCCCCUCGCCGGCCCCGCCUUUACCUGCGGCCCCGCCCUGCCCCGGACGAGCCGGGCCCCUCCCACCUGAGCCCCUGGCGCCAGGUGAGCUCCGACCCCGAACCGGGCGGGGCCUUCGUCCACCUCAUCGACGAGCGCGGCGUCUACUCCACGGCCAAGCUGGUGCCAGGUGAGGAGGAGGAGGAGGAGGAUGAAGACGAAGAAGAAGAAGAAACACCUGAGGGCGAGGCUCACCUGGAGAUCCGCCGGGUGAUCGUGGCCGAGAAGCCCUUCCAGUGCCCGGCGUGCCACAAGGGCUUCAAGCGCGCCUGGGAGCUGCUGAGCCACCAGGUGGUUCACACCGAGGCGCGUCCCUACACCUGCCACCUGUGCCAGGCCACCUUCAAGCGCCACUCGGACUUCAAGAGCCACGGGCUGGUGCACACGGAGGAGCGGCCGCACCGCUGCGAGCUCUGCGGCAAGCGCUUCAAGCGCUCCUCCAACCUGCAGGAGCACCGCCGCAUCCACAGCGGCGAGCGCCCCUUCACCUGCCCCAGGUGCGCCAAAGCCUUCAAGACGCCCUACGAGCGCCAGCGCCACGCCCUCACCCACCUGGCGGCGGUGGCCGACAAACCCUUCCGCUGCGGCGAGUGCGGCAAGGAUUUCCCGGCGGCCAACGCGCUGCUGCUGCACCGGCGGCAGCGCUGCCGGGACAAGCCGCACGCCUGCGGCGUCUGCGGCAAGCGCUUCACCUACGGCCACUCGCUGAAGGUGCACGAGCGCGUCCACACCGGCGACCGCCCCUUCCGCUGCGGCCUCUGCGGCAAGGCCUUCAAGCAGAGCAACGCGCUGGCCUCGCACGAGCGCGUGCACACGGGCGAGCGCCCCUUCGCCUGCCGCACCUGCGGGAAGGCCUUCAAGCAGUCGUCCUACCUGGCCAUCCACCAGCGGGCGCACACGGGCGAGCGGCCCUACGGCUGCGAGGUGUGCGGGAAGGCGUUCGCCCGGCCCUCGCUGCUGCUGCAGCACCGGCGGGUGCACAGCCAGGUGAGGCCGCACCAGUGCGGGCACUGCCACAAGUUCUUCAAGGACCUGGCGUACCUGGCGGUGCACGAGAAGGUGCACACGGGGGAGACGCCCUACAAGUGCGGGGUGUGCGCCAAGGGCUUCGCGCACCCCUCCAACCUGCUGCAGCACCGGCGCGUGCACCGCGACACCUGAGGGGACAGGUGGAGGAUUCGGUACCUGUGAGCCAGGACAGGUGUGGAGCCCAAAAUUGAGUUUUUGACCCCCAAAAACAGCAGCAGCUACACCUGGACUGCGACACCUGAGCCCCAGGUGGAGGAUUCGGUACCUGUGAGCCAGGACAGGUGUGGAGCCCAAAAUUGUGGUUUUGACCCCCA